GAUGAACGCUGGCGGCGUGCCUAAUACAUGCAAGUCGAGCGAACGGACGAUACUCUUGCUUCUUUCUUGUUUGCGGCACACGGGUGUGUAACACGUGUAUAACCUCCCUAUCAUUCUGAUAUAACUUCGAGACACCGGAUCUUAUACCAGAUAAUAUUUUGAACCACGUUGUUCGAUGGUAAAAUUCGGUCUUUCUGUCUCUUAUAGAUGCAUCCGCGCUUCAUUAGCUAGUUGUUGAGGUAACGGCUUUUCAAGGCAACGAUGCAUAGCCGAAGUGAGAGGGUGAUCGGCGACACUGGAGCUGAGCCACGGACCAGACUCCUACGGGAGGCAGCAGUAGGGAAUGUUACGCAAAGGGCGAAAGCCUGACGGAGCAACGCCGAGUGAGUGACGACAGUGUUCGGAUCGUAAAACUCUGUUAUUAGGGAAAAACAGCUGUCGAAGUAAACGUGCACAUCUUGACGGUACCUAAUAAGAAAGCAACGGCUAACUACGUG
rnacentral:rRNA from 1 species